GACGAACGCUGGCGGCGUGCUUAACACAUGCAAGUCGAGCGGAAAGGCCCUUCGGGGUACUCGAGCGGCGAACGGGUGAGUAACACGUGUGUAACCUGCCCCAGACUUUGGGAUAACCCUCGGAAACGGGGGCUAAUACCGGAUACGACACAGCUUCGCAUGGGGUCUGUGUGGAAAGUUUUUCGGUUUGGGAUGGGCUCGCGGCCUAUCAGCUUGUUGGUGGGGUGAUGGCCUACCAAGGCGACGACGGGUAGCCGGCCUGAGAGGGCGACCGGCCACACUGGGACUGAGACACGGCCCAGACUCCUACGGGAGGCAGCAGUGGGGAAUAUUGCACAAUGGGCGGAAGCCUGAUGCAGCGACGCCGCGUGAGGGAUGACGGCCUUCGGGUUGUAAACCUCUUUCAGCAGGGACGAAGCGUAAGUGACGGUACCUGCAGAAGAAGCGCCGGCCAACUACGUG
rnacentral:rRNA from 1 species